GACGUAGGGCGCGAGCGUUGUCCGGAUUUAUUGGGCGUAAAGAGCUCGUAGGCGGCUUGUCGCGUCGAAUGUGAAAACCCACAGCUCAACUGUGGGCUUGCAUUCGAUACGGGCAGGCUCGAGUUCGGUAGGGGAGACUGGAAUUCCUGGUGUAGCGGUGAAAUGCGCAGAUAUCAGGAGGAACACCGUGGCGAAGGCGGCU
rnacentral:rRNA from 1 species